UACGAAGGGGGCUAGCGUUGUUCGGAAUCACUGGGCGUAAAGCGCGCGUAGGCGGAUCGUUAAGUCGGGGGUGAAAUCCUGAGGCUCAACCUCAGAACUGCCUUCGAUACUGGCGAUCUUAGAGUCCGGGAGAGGUGAGUGGAACUCCUAGUGUAGAGGUGAAAUUCGUAGAUAUUCGCAAGAACACCGGUGGCGAAGGCGGCCAACUGGUCCGGAUCUGACGCUGAGGCGCGAAAGCGUGGGGAGCAAACAGG
rnacentral:rRNA from 1 species